rnacentral:tRNA from 2 species
CAAAGUAUAGCUAAAUUAGUUUAGUGUUUCAUUUACAUUGAAAUGAGUUAUCGUGCAAGUCGAUUUACUUUGAA